rnacentral:rRNA from 1 species
CAGUCGCCGCGGUAAUACGAAGGGUGCAAGCGUUACUCGGAAUUACUGGGCGUAAAGCGUGCGUAGGUGGUGGUUUAAGUCCGUUGUGAAAGCCCUGGGCUCAACCUGGGAAUUGCAGUGGAUACUGGGUCACUAGAGUGUGGUAGAGGAUAGUGGAAUUUCCGGUGUAGCAGUGAAAUGCGUAGAGAUCGGAAGGAACAUCUGUGGCGAAGGCGACUAUCUGGGCCAACACUGACACUGAGGCACGAAAGCGUGGGGAGCAAACAGGAUUAGAUACCCGAGUAGUCCUGUCUCUUAUACA